AAAUAACGUUAAUGAUUAGGUGCCUUUAACUACGGUUAAAGGAGAAUAGGGAAUCAGGUGUAAGACCUGAACGGGCCCGCCACUGUAACCGGUGAAGUGCAAUUUACAAUUAAAAGUCAAAAGUUAACAGUCAAAAGAUAAUUAAUUGUUAAUUGCUAGAGGAUGAGAAGACCACUUGGAUAUUUUAAGUAUUCAGGGAAGGUGAAGUCCUUACAACCGGAAGUCAGGAGACCUGCCUAGUCAUUAACCUACUA
rnacentral:ncRNA from 2 species